UGCCCUGUAACUCCUAUCUCUACCUCCUCGCGGUACUACCCCGGUGGGAACUUUGAUCGUAUGCUACAGGGAAGG
rnacentral:ribozyme from 1 species